CUCGUAGGCGGUUUGUCGCGUCGAAUGUGAAAUCCCGGGGCUCAACCCCGGGCCUGCAUUCGAUACGGGCAGACUAGAGUUCGGUAGGGGAGUCUGGAAUUCCUGGUGUAGCGGUGAAAUGCGCAGAUAUCAGGAGGAACACCGGUGGCGAAGGCGGGACUCUGGGCCGAUACUGACGCUGAGGAGCGAAAGCGUGGGGAGCAAACA
rnacentral:rRNA from 1 species